rnacentral:rRNA from 1 species
CGGCUAACUUCGUGCCAGCAGCCGCGGUAAUACGAAGGGGGCUAGCGUUGUUCGGAAUUACUGGGCGUAAAGGGUGCGUAGGCGGUUCUUUAAGUCAGGUGUGAAAUCUCGGGGCUUAACUGGGAGGCUGCCCUUGAAACUGAGGAGCUUGAGUUUGGGAGAGGUGAGUGGAAUUGCUGGUGUAGCGGUGAAAUGCGUAGAUAUUCGGAGGAACACCUGUGGCGAAGGCGGCUCACUGGACCAUUACUGACGCUGAGGCACGAAAGCGUGGGGAGCAAACAGGAUUAGAUACCCUGGUAGUCCACGCCCUAAACGAUGAAUGCUUGGUGU